rnacentral:tRNA from 1 species
AGUCGGGUUCGAGUCCCGGGCAACCCCA